rnacentral:rRNA from 1 species
GGGCCCCAUCAGCUAGUUGGGUAGGGUAACGGCCUACCAAGGCUAAGACGGGUAGCUGGUCUGAGAGGAUGAUCAGCCACACUGGGACUGAGACACGGCCCAGACUCCUACGGAGGCAGCAGUGGGGAAUAUUGGGCAAUGGGCGCAAGCCUGACCCAGCCACGCCGCGUGAGUGAUGAAGGCUUUCGGGUCGUAAAGCUCUGUGGGGAGGGACGAAAAAACAUUGGCUAAUAUCCAAUGGACUGACGGUACCUCCUUAGCAAGCACCGGCUAACUCCGUGCCAGCAGCCGCGGUAA